UCAGGCCUAACACAUGCAAGUCGAACGAACCCUUCGGGGUUAGUGGCGCACGGGUGCGUAACGCGUGGGGAUCUGCCCUUUGCUUCGGAAUAACAGUUAGAAAUGACUGCUAAUACCGGAUGAUGUCGAAAGACCAAAGAUUUAUCGGCAAAGGAUGAACCCGCGUAGGAUUAGCUAGUUGGUGGGGUAAAGGCCUACCAAGGCGACGAUCCUUAGCUGGUCUGAGAGGAUGAUCAGCCACACUGGGACUGAGACACGGCCCAGACUCCUACGGGAGGCAGCAGUGGGGAAUAUUGGACGAUGGGCGAAAGCCUGAUCCAGCAAUGCCGCGUGAAAAUGGAGGCCUUAGGGUUGUAAAGCUCUUUACCAGGGAUGAUA
rnacentral:rRNA from 1 species